GGCUCGCGGGCGGCUGCGGCGUGGGCGGUUCGUUCCGGCGGUUCGUUCCCCCUCUCCCCUCCCUUCCCCCCUCCCCCGGGGCUUUGCGCCUCUCGUUGUUCUCCUUUCCAUUGCAUUUCUGUUGUUGUUUCUUUUAAUUUUAAUUAUUAAGUUGUUCUUAUCCCAACCCACGAGCGUUACCCUUCGGAUUCCCUCCCCCGUGUACCGGUGCGGGAGGGAGCGAGCGGCUGCGUGGGGCUGAGCUGCCGGCUACACCACGACACAGGUCUGUGAUCAUGUCACCUGCGAAAGAAAAUGGGUGUAAAUGGAAUAUAUGAGUAACAAGAGGGAAAGAGAGCAGAUGAAGUGAAAUAGGAAGUUGAAAGGACAAAGGACAGAAUCUCAUCUGAAGAGUUGAGAGGAGUGGAGAAGAUGUGUGUACGUAGUAGGGGAGCGGGGAUGCACGCUCUGGAAGAGUUGCUGAUGAUGAUGACAAAGGAAUUAUGGUGGCAGUGGGCACUGGAUGAAUGGCCAGGGGAACCGCGCUUGGACCAGCAACAUUCUCCAGAAGAGUCACUGUUCACCUCAAACUGUCUCCUGAAUUUCUUUUUAUUUCUUCAUUGAUCAACCCUUGAUAGAUGUAAGCACCUUUUGGUAUUUUCUCAAGAGGAGGGAUGCAUUUUAACCAGGUAACAGAGUAAAAAGAUGCAACACUGGGACCCAGAAUCUGCAACAGUCUCUGCAAUAGCAUCCUACACGUGAGAUGUCCUCCCUUCCUCUGACUGGCCUCUGUGAACAGCUCUGCACGUCCUGAAUUUUGAGAUGUUGAAUGCAAAGUGUCUGAUAUCAGUGCUGCUGCUUUGUGCUCCAGCUCCUCACCCAGAAAAUUUCCCUGACCUUCAUGCACAGGUGUGUUGAGAUAGAUGAACCAAGCAGGAGCUCCAGCCUUCCCUGCCCUUUAACCCACAAGCCAGGCUGCCCAGUGAAUUCAUGCAGAACAAGCUCCAGUGGAUAUUUAUUUGCUGUUUGUGCCGACCAGCUGCUUCACAAACUGUUGGGUUAUUUUAGUUUUGUUGCCACAAUCAUUUGGCUCCUUUGGUGCUAUCUGUCGCAUGCAGAUGAAAAUGAACAGCCUUGACAAUCAGGUGACAACAAUCCAGCAUGUCCAGGAGUGUGCGUGUGUGUGUGUGAGCACAGAGCGAAGCAGGCUGCAUAAGUAAAUUGUUAAGCACCCUAGAAAAGCAGCGCCCGACACUGGAGAGAGAAAGUGUGUUUAUUAGAGAAGUGGAGAAACGCAAUCAAAUGUUCUUGGACUAUUUAUAACUGGAGACCACAUCCCCUUGAAGGCGGAAGUUUAAUUCUUCAGUGGCCAGGGCUUGCAGCACACUGAGUCUGUCUCUACUGCAUGCACAGUGGCAGCAUGCGUGGGUCUUUCUGAUAAUAAAGAUUAGUUAUUGGGCUAAAGAGAAGCAAUUUGACUGCAGUUCUCAGCCUUGUCAUGCAGGAGGUCUGUGGAAGAUGAAGUUGUUAAUGUGGAUAUAAGAAUUCAGAAUUCCAGGGAAAAUCCUUAAAGCCAUGCUAAGGGGCAAAUCUAUGAAGAAGCCGCCAGCUACGGUCACAGCAGCCUCUUACCUGGCACUUGGCAUUAUCAGAGAUCCCAGCACGUAGCAUUAUUAGAGAUCCUUUGGUAGCUUCAUCCUAGGAGAGUUAAGUGUUGUCUAAUGAGGAUUUGCUGCCUGCUACCUGUGAAGGUAAUUCCUCCAUCUUUCACAAUCUCCGUGUUUCCUUCAUGUGCAGCUGGAAAAGGAAUGAGCAGCCUGUGCAGAAGCUGGAAAAGUGUAGACCUUGGGCUCGACACAGGUGUCACACUAGUUUUAUGUCAGCGCAGCCCCAGUGCCUCUGGCGGAGCUGCUCGUGGUUUCUAUCAACGCACGUGAGAGGAGAAGCAGGGCCUGUCGCAGGAGAACUGUUCAGGGGCAGACAGGUGGGGGUCAAUCCCCACAUUUCCAUCUGGCUGAGAAUCUGUCUUUGGCUGCCUCACUGACUGACCUGAAUGGAGUUAACCUUGAUUUACACUGGAGAAGGAGAGGGGAGAAUUGAGCACAACAAGCUGAAUCCUAGAAUAGAAAAAGGCCACUGGAUAGGGAGACAGAGUGCAAGGAGGAAAAGCUAACACCAUGGCCUCUGUGAUUCUGUCUUUGCAGGUCCCUCAGGCAACAUAACCAUAAACAGUCUUUUCAAAAAAAUGUGAAUAUUAUGCUCCUUUCUGACAGUUUUUUCCCCGAUUUCCUUCUAUCUUCACAAGUAGCUCAAGGAAAAUAAAUAUUUAAUGACCUAUUUAAAUAUUUUAAUGUAGGUUUCUUGGUUAAAACACCACAAAUCUCUCCACGAAAGGGCAACAAUAAAAUUAUAAAGUA